GAUGAAGAACGCAGCGAAAUGCGAUAAGUAAUGUGAAUUGCAGAAUUCAGUGAAUCAUCGAAUCUUUGAACGCACAUUGCGCCCCCUGGUAUUCCGGGGGGCAUGCCUGUCCGAGCGUCAUUACAACCCUCAAGCUCAGCUUGGUAUUGGGCCCCGCCGACCCGGCGGGCCCUAAAGUCAGUGGCGGUGCCGUCCGGCUCCGAGCGUAGUAAUUCUUCUCGCUCUGGAGGUCCGGUCGUGUGCUCGCUAGCAACCCCCAAUUUUUUUCAGGUUGACCUCGGAUCAGGUAGGGAUACCCGCUGAACUUAAGCAUAUCAAUAAGCGGAGGA
rnacentral:misc_RNA from 1 species